GAUAAACGCUGGCGGCGUGCCUAAAACAUGCAAGUCGAACGGGUGACUUCGGUCACCAGUGGCGAACGGCUGAGUAACGCGUGGGUGACCUCGCUCCGAGUGGGGGAUAACUGCCCGAAAGGGUGGCUAAUACCGCAUGAGCUCGUGGGAUCGUUCCUACGAGCAAAGUCGCAAGACGCUCGGAGAUGGGCCCGCGUCCGAUUAGCUUGUUGGUGGGGUGACGGCCUACCAAGGCGACGAUCGGUAGCUGGUCUCAGAGGAUGAUCAGCCAGACUGGGACUGCGACACGGCCCAGACUCCUACGGGAGGCAGCAGUUAGGAAUUUUGGGCAAUGGGCGAAAGCCUGACCCAGCAACGCCGCGUGGGGACGACGGCCUCGGUUGUAACCCUUUCCGUACGG
rnacentral:rRNA from 1 species